AGAUAUGUGAUGAGUCUCCUUUGGCUUCUAAUGAGUCUUAUUUUGAUUCUCAGUCUGUUCUUCCUUCGUCUGAUAGUGAUCUUGAUAUUCCUAUUCUUCUCCGAAAAGGUGUGAGGACCUAUACUAAAUAUCCCAUUUCUAAUUUCAUGUCUUAUAAUUCUCUGUCUCCAUCCGACAGAGCCUUUCUAUUGUCUAUUUGCUAUCUUUAUCCCAUCGAAUUGGAAGAAAGUUUGUCUUGAUCUAAAAUGGAGGGCAGCUAUGGUGGAGGAGAUGAAAGCUUUGGCAAAGAAUGAGACAUGGGAAUUGGUUACUCUUCCACUGGAAAAGA
rnacentral:misc_RNA from 1 species